rnacentral:rRNA from 1 species
AAUGAACGUUGGCGGCGUGGAUUAGGCAUGCAAGUCGCGGGAAUCCAGCAAUGGGGAACCGGCGUAAGGGGCAGUAAUGCGUGGGUAUUUACCCUCGGGUCUGGCAUAGCCCUUCGAGAGAAGGGGUAAUUCCAGAUGACGUCGUGAGACCAAAGGUCCGCCGCCCGGGGAGAAGCCCACGUGAUAUUAGCUAGUUGGUGAGGUAAUGGCUCACCAAGGCGAAGAUGUCUAGCAGGUGUGAGAGCACGACCUGCGCCACUGGCACUGAGAACUGGCCAGACACCUACGGGUGGCUGCAGUCGAGGAUCUUCGGCAAUGAGCGCAAGCUUGACCGAGCGACGCCGCGUGGGCGAUGAAGGCCUUCGGGUUGUAAAGCCCUGUCGAGGGGGAGAAAACCGCAAGGUUGAUCUAUCCCUGGAGGAAGCACGGGCUAAGUUCGUGCCAGCAGCCGCAGUAAAAC